rnacentral:rRNA from 1 species
GGGGGUGACGCAGGAGGAUAGGAUGUGCACACUGUUGGAUGUGUGUCUAAGCGUUUAGGAGUAGCUGGCAGGCAAAUCCGCCAGCCGAAUCUAAGGCGUGAUGGGGAGCUCGUAUGAGCGAAGUAUCUGAUUCCACGCUGCCAAGAAAAGCCUCUAUCGAGGAAGUUGGUACCCCGUACCGCAAACCGACACAGGUAGGUGAGGAGAGAAUCCUAAGACCAUCGGAAGAAUUGCUGUUAAGGAACUCGGCAAAUUGACCCCGUAACUUCGGGAGAAGGGGUGCCACCGAAAGGUGGUCGCAGAGAAUAGGCCCAAGCAACUGUUUAGCAAAAACACAGGUCUCUGCUAAAGCGAAAGCUGAUGUAUGGGGGCUGACGCCUGCCCGGUGCUGGAAGGUUAAGGGGAUCACUUAGCGCAAGCGAAGGUGUGAACUUAAGCCCCAGUAAACGGCGGCCGUAACUAUAACGGUCCUAAGGUAGCGAAAUUCCUUGUCGGGUAAGUUCCGACCCGCACGAAUGGCGUAAUGAUUUGGGCACUGUCUCAACAGCAAAUCCGGCGAAAUUGUAGUGCAAGUGAAGAUGCUUGCUACCCGCGAUUGGACGGAAAGACCCCGUAGAGCUUUACUGUAGCUUAGCAUUGAAUUUCGGUAUUGUCUGUACAGGAUAGGUGGGAGACUGAGAAACUGGGCCGUCAGGUUCAGUGGAGUCAUCCUUGGGAUACCACCCUGACAGUACUGGGAUUCUAACUGGAGGCCAUGAAUCUGGUCACAGGACAUUGUUAGGUGGGCAGUUUGACUGGGGCGGUCGCCUCCAAAAAAGUAACGGAGGCGCCCAAAGGUUCCCUCAGUGCGGUUGGAAAUCGCGCGAAGAGUGCAAAGGCAGAAGGGAGCCUGACUGCGACACAGACAAGUGGAGCAGGGACGAAAGUCGGGCUUAGUGAUCCGGUGGUUCCUCGUGGGAGGGCCAUCGCUCAACGGAUAAAAGCUACCUCGGGGAUAACAGGCUGAUCUCCCCCAAGAGUCCACAUCGACGGGGAGGUUUGGCACCUCGAUGUCGGCUCGUCGCAUCCUGGGGCUGAAGUAGGUCCCAAGGGUUGGGCUGUUCGCCCAUUAAAGCGGCACGCGAGCUGGGUUCAGAACGUCGUGAGACAGUUCGGUCCCUAUCCGUCGCGGGCGUAGGAAAUUUGAAGGGAGCUGUCCUUAGUACGAGAGGACCGGGAUGGACCAACCUCUGGUGCACCAGUUGUCACGCCAGUGGCAUAGCUGGGUAGCUAUGUUGGGAAAUGAUAAACGCUGAAAGCAUCUAAGCGUGAAGCAUACCCUAAGAUGAGAUUUCCCAUGGCGUAAGCCAGUAAGACUCCUGAAAGAACAUCAGGUUGAUAGGUUAGGGGUGUAAGCAUGGUAACAUGUUUAGCUGACUAAUACUAAUAAGUCGAGGGCUUGACCAG